CAGCCGCCACGGUAAUACCAGCACCUCGAGUGGUCAGGAGGUUUAUUGGGCCUAAAGCAUCCGUAGCCGGUUGCAUAAGUUUUCGGUUAAAUCUAUGCGCUUAACGUAUAGGCCGCCGAAAAUACUGUGCAGCUAGGGAGUGGGAGAGGUACACGGUACUCGAUAGGAAGGGGUAAAAUCCUUUGAUCUAUUGAUGACCACCUGUGGCGAGGGCGGUGUACCAGAACACGUUCGACGGUGAGGGAUGAAAGCUGGGGGAGCAAACCGGAUUAGAUACCCGCGUAGUCCCUGUCUCUUAUAC
rnacentral:rRNA from 1 species